AGAGUUUGAUCCUGGCUCAGGAUGAACGCUAGCGACAGGCUUGACACAUGCAAGUCGAGGGGCAGCGGGGUUGGCAACGACCGCCGGCGACCGGCGCACGGGUGAGUAACACGUAUGCAACCUGCCCGCCACAGGGGGAUAACCGGGAGAAAUCCCGACUAAUACCGCGUACAGCCGGAGGGGGGCAUCCCCCGUCGGUGAGAGCUACGGCGGUGGCGGAUGGGCAUGCGGGGCAUUAGCUAGACGGCGGAGCAACGGCCCACCGUGGCGACGAUGCCUAGGGGUUCUGAGAGGAAGGUCCCCCACACUGGUACUGAGACACGGACCAGACUCCUACGGGAGGCAGCAGUGAGGAAUAUUGGUCAAUGGGCGGGAGCCUGAACCAGCCAAGUCGCGUGAGGGAUGAAGGUCCUAAGGAUUGCAGACCUCUUUUGCCGGGGAGCAACGGCCGCCACGCGUGGCGGAAUGAGAGUACCCGGAGAAAAAGCAUCGGCUAACUCCGUGCCAGCAGCCGCGGUAAUACGGAGGAUGCGAGCGUUAUCCGGAUUUAUUGGGUUUAAAGGGUGCGUAGGCGGACGUUCAAGUCGGCGGUCAAAUGGGCGGGCUCAACCCGUCCGCGCCGUCGAAACUGGGCGACUUGAGUAGGAGAGGGGCACGCGGAAUGCGCGGUGUAGCGGUGAAAUGCAUAGAUAUCGCGCAGAACUCCGAUCGCGAAGGCAGCGUGCCGGCUCCUCACUGACGCUGAAGCACGAAAGCGUGGGGAUCGAACAGGAUUAGAUACCCUGGUAGUCCACGCAGUAAAC
rnacentral:rRNA from 1 species